rnacentral:rRNA from 1 species
UACCUGCAGCUCAAGUAGUGAUCGCUAUUAUUGGGCCUAAAACGUUCGUAGCCGGUUUGAUAAAUGCCUGGGUAAAUAGUGUAGCUUAACUAUACGAAUUCCGGGUAGACUGUCAAACUUGAGACCGGGAGAGGCUAGAGGUACUCCUGGGGUAGAGGUGAAAUUCUGUAAUCCUGAGGGGACCACCAGUGGCGAAGGCGUCUAGCUAGAACGGGUCUGACGGUGAGGAACGAAGCCCUGGGGCGCGAACCGGAUUAGAUACCCGGGUAGUCCAGGGUGUAAACGCUGCUUGCUUGAUGUUAGUUGGGCUCCGAGCCCAAUUAGUGUCGGAGAGAAGUUGUUAAGCAAGCUGCCUGGGAAGUACGAUCGCAAGAUUAGAAACUUAAAGGAAUUGGGCGGGGGAGCACAGCAACGGGUGGAGCGUGCGGUUU